UACGGAGGGUGCAAGCGUUACUCGGAAUCACUGGGCGUAAAGAGUGCGUAGGCUGAAUGAUAAGUCAGAUGUGAAAGCCUAUGGCUUAACUAUAGAAUUGCAUUUGAAACUGUUAUUCUAGAGUGUGGGAGAGGUAGGUGGAAUUCUUGGUGUAGGGGUAAAAUCCGUAGAUAUCAAGAGGAAUACUUAUUGCGAAGGCGACUUACUAGAACAUUACUGACGCUGAUGCACGAAAGCGUGGGGAGCAAACAGG
rnacentral:rRNA from 1 species